GGAAUGAGUGAAGAAAAUAGAGGGAUUUAGAUGAGAAGGGUUUUGGAGGGUUUGGUUUUGAAGGGUUUUGGAGGAAUUCAAAAUUUCUAUUGAAGGAGAGUUUAAGAGGGUUUUUAUAAAUUCUUCAUAUAUCUUAUGUUGUUAUAGGAUUAUGAAAAUUAAAAAUAUAGUAAUGAUAAACACUCUUUCAUCAUUCAAUACAAAAUUAUUUUUUCA
rnacentral:lncRNA from 1 species